rfam:Bacillus sp. WF146 contig222, whole genome shotgun sequence.
UGAAAAGAAUAUGUCAUGCCGUAGACAGAAGGUGCGGAGCUUGGCUUGUCCAAGCGAUGCUUAAUAUCCCUCCGAGGCGUGUAAUGGUACGGAAAAAGGAGCCGCUGCGUUCCUUUGACGAUAGAACAUUAUGCCCUCGUGUGUCUACGAGGGCAUUCUUCUUUUUCGA